UACAGAGGGUGCAAGCGUUGUUCGGAAUUAUUGGGCGUAAAGCGCGCGCAGGUGGUUUCUUAAGUCUGAUGUGAAAGCCCACGGCUCAACCGUGGAGGGUCAUUGGAAACUGGGAGACUUGAGUGCAGAAGAGGAAAGUGGAAUUCCAUGUGUAGCGGUGAAAUGCGUAGAGAUAUGGAGGAACACCAGUGGCGAAGGCGACUUUCUGGUCUGUAACUGACACUGAGGCGCGAAAGCGUGGGGAGCAAACAGG
rnacentral:rRNA from 1 species